rnacentral:rRNA from 1 species
AACGCUGGGCGGCGUGCCUUUUACAUGCAGUCGCGCGGACAGAAGGGAGCUUGCUCCCGGAUGUUGGCGGCGGACGGGUGAGUAACACGUGGGUAACCUGCCUGUAAGACUGGGAUAACUCCGGGAAACCGGAGCUAAUACCGGAUAGUUCCUUGAACCGCAUGGUUCAAGGAUGAAAGACGGUUUCGGCUGUCACUUACAGAUGGACCCGCGGCGCAUUAGCUAGUUGGUGGGGUAAUGGCUCACCAAGGCGACGAUGCGUAGCCGACCUGAGAGGGUGAUCGGCCACACUGUGACUGAUCCCGGCCCACACUCCUACGGGAGCCAGCAGUACGGAAUCUUCCGCAAUGGACAAGAGUCUGAAGGAACAACGCCGCGUGAUGAUG